rnacentral:rRNA from 1 species
CAAACUGGAGAUGGCGACCGGCGCACGGGUGAGUAACACGUAUCCAACCUGCCGAUAACUCCGGAAUAGCCUUUCGAAAGAAAGAUUAAUACCGGAUAGCAUACGAAUAUCGCAUGAUAUUUUUAUUAAAGAAUUUCGGUUAUCGAUGGGGAUGCGUUCCAUUAGGUUGUUGGCGGGGUAACGGCCCACCAAGCCUUCGAUGGAUAGGGGUUCUGAGAGGAAGGUCCCCCACAUUGGAACUGAGACACGGUCCAAACUCCUACGGGAGGCAGCAUG